rnacentral:tRNA from 1 species
AUCUUAUUAGUAUAAUCAGUACAUUUGACUUCCAAUCAGAUAGUUUAAUUUUCAUUAAAUAAGAUA